CGCUCACCGUGCCAGCAUUGCCUGCCAUCUCCGCGCACUGUAUGGUUGCCAGAACCCUGUGGUCCAAAGACUGGAUGAGUACGAAAACCAUGGAGUUAUCCCAAAAGGACCCAUAUGCUCUGAAUUGAUAGAAACUCCCGUCUUCCCCAGCUUCUGUGCAUUUGCUUUUUAUCGCUGCACUACAAAAAGGUACUUCAUUAAGCGGACUAUGUGCCCAGGAGAGCACAGGGCCAACCUGAGCAGCACACAAACUUUCAACAACGCGGCCCCGAGCAGCGAUGCAGCGUUGUCUGCUAUCUUCAGUCCUCAGCCUGUUUUUCCCACCUCUUCUGCAACCAACCAGCCAUCCAGCUCCAGGCCUAACAAGGAAGGAACUGAGAUCUCCAGCCUCUCACCUGAUGGCAUGCCACCGCUGGGGAACAUGAAGCCUUCCACCUCACAUCCCACACAGACAGUCAGCUGCCAGCAGCAGGGACAUCUGCCUGCCACAGAC